rnacentral:tRNA from 1 species
AGGGAAUUAGGUUAAUGGUAAACCCAGGGCCUUCAAAGUCUUAAACGGUGGUUCAAUUCCAUCAUUCUUUG